rnacentral:rRNA from 1 species
UACAGAGGUCUCAAGCGUUGUUCGGAUUCAUUGGGCGUAAAGGGUGCGUAGGUGGCGCCGUAAGUCAGGUGUGAAAUCUCGGGGCUCAACCCCGAAACUGCACUUGAUACUGCGGUGCUCGAGUACUGGAGAGGAGAUUGGAAUUUACGGUGUAGCAGUGAAAUGCGUAGAUAUCGUAAGGAAGACCAGUGGCGAAGGCGAAUCUCUGGACAGUUACCGACACUGAGGCACGAAGGCCAGGGGAGCAAACGGG